GAGAAGGGGAGAUGCUGCAGAUGCCAACGUGCUACUGUAGAACAGUACGGUCUAAGGCUUCUGUCAAAAACGUUCAUACGAGUACGGCAAAAAAACAAGAAUUAUAAAACAUUUCUAUCCACUACUACUGAAAAUACUAGCCGCGGAUCCGCUGUGUUCGAUCAGUUCGCGGACGACCACUACAUCACCGGUUGACAGCCGAGAACGUUUCGGCGGUUUACUAUUGUACCAUAUUGACAUAUUGUAUUCUAUAUAUAUAAAAUAUAAAUAUAUAUACACUAAUCAUAUAUAUGUUUGUGUACAUGUAAAAAUAUUGUAUUGUUUUUUUUUUUCAAAAUCUUUUUUUUUCCGAAAAUAAAAUCACAAAUAUUUCGUUUGUAUUAUGUUAUGUUUUUCCAAUGAUAAUGAUCGCUUGUUGUUGUCUUGGUGUCCGUUAAACUGUAUUCCAUCUCAUUUUUUUAAACAGUCUCUAAGCAGCGGCGGCAGUAGCAGUAGCAGUGAUGGCGGAGGCGGCGGCAGUUCGGCGAGUUAUCAGUGCGUCUCCUGCAGCAGUUGCAGAUGGUCAUAAAUCAUUUUUAUUCUCUCUCUUGACGCUUAUCCUGCGAUUCAUCGCCGCAUACAGAUGUCACACGGUCGUCGUUACGGCAAUCAAUUAGAAUCGCCAAAAGACUGACGCGCGCCAAAUGUAAAAUCAACACAAUGUUUGUGAGUUUUAAUAAUAAACGACCGUGUGAUUAGGUAUAAAAACAAGAGCUAAAAAAUUUUCCCUCGGUAAAAAAGUACCACCGUCGUGUAUAUGUUUUUUUUCUAUCCAUGGAGCACACGUGUGUGAAAUGUGUACACACACACACACACACACACACACACACACACCAAAGAAUUUCCAUAAAUAGUGACUCGGCGAGGGUUGUGCGCACGUCGCAAGAUAGUCCUGAGCACCACCAGUCGGUUCAGAAAUAGAAUGCCCCAACAAUAAUACUACAUUAUUUCUUUUCCCUCUCUCUUUCACUCAGCGUCCCUAUCAGCCUCUCUCUCUCUCUUUUUUUCUCUCACUCUCUCUCUCUCUCUCUCUCUCUCUCUCUCUCUAUUUCU